rnacentral:rRNA from 1 species
UACAGAGGUCCCGAGCGUUGUUCGGAUUCACUGGGCGUAAAGGGCGCGUAGGCGGCUUUGCGUGUCUUUCGUGAAAUCCCUCGGCUCAACUGAGGACGUGCGGAAGAAACUGCAGGGCUGGAGUCCGGGAGAGGAGGGUGGAAUUCCCAGUGUAGCGGUGAAAUGCGUAGAUAUUGGGAGGAACACCGGUGGCGAAGGCGGCCCUCUGGACCGGUACUGACGCUGAUGCGCGAAAGCCAGGGGAGCAAACGGG